AGCGAACGCUGGCGGCAGGCUUAACACAUGCAAGUCGAGCGGGCACUUUCGGGUGUCAGCGGCGGUCGGGUGCGUACCGCUUGGGAACGUGCCCUCUGCUUCGUAAUAACUCAGGGUAACUUGAGCUAAUACCGGCUACGCCCUCUUGGGGCAUGGCUUGCUGACGGAGGAUCGGCCCGCGUCUGAUUAGCGAGUUGGUGCGGUAACGGCUCACCAAGGUGACGAUCUGUAGAUGGUCUGAGAGGAUGAUCAGAGACACUGGGACGGGGAAACGGUGCAGAAUACUACGGGAGGCGGCAGUGGGGAAUAUUGGACAGUGGGGGGAAGCCUGAUCCAGCCAUGACGCGUGAGUGAUGAAGGCCUGAGGGUUGUAAAGCAAUUUUAUACGGGACGAUAAUGACGGUACCGGAGGAAUAAGCCCCGGCUAACUUCGUG
rnacentral:rRNA from 1 species